rnacentral:tRNA from 1 species
GCGUCUAUAGCUCAACCGGAGAGAGCGUCAGUUUCCUAAACUGUAGGUUGGGGGUUCAAUUCCCUCUAGGCGCACCA